UUUCAGAAACUAACCAUAUUUCUUCUUUUUGAUGUAGAGAUACAUAUUACCAGACAACAACAUACCCAUGAUUGCACUCCAUGCCGAUUACAAACAAACAUUUUCAGGCGCAUGUCACAAGCUCUGCUCAUCUCAUACAACAGAUUCCCAAGAUUGAUGCUUAACACCCUCUCCAAGACCAAAAUCAACUGGCUUUAAAACUCAGCAGGCGUUGUAAUUUAAAACAAGUUGCUCGCAUUGGCUUUAUGCUGUUGCUCAUCAAGAAGUCAAUCCGUCAUCAGCCAUUACACAUCUUGCAGCUUUCAACAGCUUUCAAAUUAUUUGAUUCUUUCAAACCUGCUAUUUUACAUCUCACAGCCCUAUCUUCUCAAAUAUUAAAAUGUUCAAGAUGACGACACCGUUACCGUAUCAUGUUUUAAAGAGUCGUUAAGAUCUACACUCCCACAGUGACUGCUUACACUUAUUGACAUUGUAACAUUCACGGUUUCUUACUUGUGUUACACUCUUCCAUCAUUGCUACAUUUAAUUCAAUGUUCACCUUUGCUGAAAUCCACUAUGUUUAACAACUGAAUUCAAUGAAUGAGCAUAACUUGUUGCUUUCUCUUCA